AACGAACGCUGGCGGCAUGCCUAACACAUGCAAGUCGAACGAAGCCUUCGGGCUUAGUGGCGCACGGGUGCGUAACGCGUGGGAAUCUGCCCCUUGCUUCGGAAUGACAGUUAGAAAUGACUGCUAAUACCGGAUGAUGUCUUCGGACCAAAGAUUUAUCGGCAAGGGAUGAGCCCGCGUAGGAUUAGGUAGUUGGUGGGGUAAAGGCCUACCAAGCCGACGAUCCUUAGCUGGUCUGAGAGGAUGAUCAGCCACACUGGGACUGAGACACGGCCCAGACUCCUACGGGAGGCAGCAGUGGGGAAUAUUGGACAAUGGACGCAAGUCUGAUCCAGCAAUGCCGCGUGAGUGAUGAAGGCCUUAGGGUUGUAAAGCUCUUUUACCAGGGAUGAUAAUGACAGUACCUGGAGAAUAAGCUCCGGCUAACUCCGUGCCAGCCGCCGCCGUAACAC
rnacentral:rRNA from 1 species